rnacentral:rRNA from 1 species
UAGCCGUAAACGAUACUCGCUAGGUGUCGGCCACGGUGCGACCGUUGUCGGUGCCGUAGGGAAGCCGUGAAGCGAGCCACCUGGGAAGUACGGCCGCAAGGCCGAAACUUAAAGGAAUUGGCGGGGGAGCACCACAACGGGUGGAGCUUGCGGUUUAAUUGGAUUCGACGCCGGAAAUCUUACCGGGACCGACAGCAACAUGAAGGCCAGGCUGAAGACUUUGCCGGAUUAGCUGAGAGGAGGUGCAUGGCGUGUGACUGU